CUUUGAGGUCCUUUUCAAUCCAGGCCGUUCUAUGAUUUAUUCUAUGAUUCUAUGAUCUUCUCUGCUCUGGGGUGCUCCCAGCACAGCUGGAUUCCUGCCUGGGAUUCCUGCCUGGAGCAGGCAAAGGGAGCACAGAGAUGUGUGUUGGAGAGGGGCCAUGGCGGAGGGGAGCAUCCAGGGCGAGCUGCAAUACCACAGCCCGCGCGUUAAACGGGAAAUGAAACAGAAAUGGAAAUGAACGCCCGCAUCUGUCCCGUUUUUAAGGUAAAGGCAGAAAUCACCUCGUGUCUCCCAGUCCGGCCACGUUCACCCAAGGAAGGUGGGGAGAAGUCAAUGUCCAGGGAAAAUGUGCAACCAUCAUCUGCAAACGAAGAGUGGGAAAUCCUACGGGAUACGGUGAUGGAGCAAAAGGGGGGGAUGGAAAACAUCUGUACGUCGGUUGAGCAUCGGGAGCCUUUGUGCCCGAGUCGUUUUGGAAGGCGGAGGGGCAUCGGGACUUCCCGUCCCUCCCUGUGCCCUUCCUGUGUUGCGCAGCGGUCACAGAGAAGGACGCACCGGGGAGCGCUGGGCACAGCCGUGUCCCCGAAAUUUGCACCUGCAAAGAGGGAGCGAGCCAGGCGAGGGGAAUGUGCGACCGGAUGGAGAAAUAUCGAAUGUUUCUGGCCGUGUGCGUUGCCAGAGGUUUGCACAUUUUGUCUGAAAACACCCAGAGUUAGAGGCGGAGAGGAGGGAGGGGGGAUUUUAAUAAAAACCAUUUGCCACUUGUCUUCAAUUAGAGUCCAGACAUCGAGCAAUAAGGAAAAAACCUUUUCUAAAA
ensembl:lncRNA